rnacentral:rRNA from 1 species
UGGGGAAUAUUGCACAAUGGGCGCAAGCCUGAUGCAGCCAUGCCGCGUGUGUGAAGAAGGCCUUCGGGUUGUAAAGCACUUUCAGCGAGGAGGAAGGGUAGUGUGUUAAUAGCACAUUGCAUUGACGUUACUCGCAGAAGAAGCACCGGCUAACUCCGUGCCAGCAGCCGCGGUAAUACGGAGGGUGCAAGCGUUAAUCGGAAUUACUGGGCGUAAAGCGCACGCAGGCGGUUUGUUAAGUCAGAUGUGAAAUCCCCGCGCUUAACGUGGAACUGCAUUUGAAA